rnacentral:rRNA from 1 species
AUUGAACGCUGGCGGCAUGCUUUACACAUGCAAGUCGAACGGUAACAGGCCGCAAGGUGCUGACGAGUGGCGAACGGGUGAGUAAUGCAUCGGAACGUGCCCAGUCGUGGGGGAUAACUACUCGAAAGAGUAGCUAAUACCGCAUACGAUCUAUGGAUGAAAGCGGGGGACCGUAAGGCCUCGCGCGAUUGGAGCGGCCGAUGUCAGAUUAGGUAGUUGGUGGGGUAAAGGCUCACCAAGCCAACGAUCUGUAGCUGGUCUGAGAGGACGACCAGCCACACUGGGAGUUAGAUACGGCCCAGACUCCUAAGGGAGGGAGCAGUGGGGAAUUUUGGACAAUGGGCGCAAGCCUGAUCCAGCAAUGCCGCGUGCAGGAAGAAGGCCUUCGGGUUGUAAACUGCUUUUGUACGGAACGAAACGGCUCUGGUUAAUACCCGGGGCUAAUGACGGUACCGUAAGAAUAAGCACCGGCUAACUACGUG